rnacentral:tRNA from 1 species
GGGCUUAGCUCAACUGGUUCAGAGCAUCCCGAUUUUACAUCGGGAGGGUCACUGGUUCGAACCCAGUAGUUCCCA